ACGAACGCUGGCGGCGUGCUUCACCCAUGCAAGUCGAACGGAAAGGCCCUGCUUUUGUGGGGUGCUCGAGUGGCGAACGGGUGAGUAACACGUGAGUAACCUGCCCUUGACUUUGGGAUAACUUCAGGAAACUGGGGCUAAUACCGGAUAGGAGCUCCUGCUGCAUGGUGGGGGUUGGAAAGUUUCGGCGGUUGGGGAUGGACUCGCGGCUUAUCAGCUUGUUGGUGGGGUAGUGGCUUACCAAGGCUUUGACGGGUAGCCGGCCUGAGAGGGUGACCGGCGACAUUGGGACUGAGAUACGGCCCAGACUCCUACGGGAGGCAGCAGUGGGGAAUAUUGCACAAUGGGCGGAAGCCUGAUGCAGCAACGCCGCGUGCGGGAUGACGGCCUUCGGGUUGUAAACCGCUUUCGCCUGUGACGAAGCGUGAGUGACGGUAAUGGGUAAAGAAGCACCGGCUAACUACGUG
rnacentral:rRNA from 1 species